rnacentral:rRNA from 2 species
AUGAAGAUGUGAAAGGAAAGCGGCGGACGGGUGAGUAACGCGUGAGUAACCUACCUAUCAGAGGGGGACAACAUUUCGAAAGGAAUGCUAAUACCGCAUAAAAUAACAGUACCGCAUGAUACAGUUAUCAAAGAUUUAUCGCUGAUAGAUGGACUCGCGUCUGAUUAGAUAGUUGGUGAGGUAACGGCUCACCAAGUCGACGAUCAGUAGCCGAACUGAGAGGUUGAUCGGCCACAUUGGGACUGAGACACGGCCCAGACUCC